rnacentral:rRNA from 1 species
AUGGCCUCGACGACUCCGCGCGCGGAGGCUUCCCCUGGUCGCCUAGGCCGACUCUGGUCGUCCCCGUACAGGCUCUGCUCGACGAGAUCUGCUCCUCGAGCUCAUCCCGUAGGUCCGCCGCCCCUGGGCAACCUCCCUCAUCGGCCCUGCACAGGCUUUGCUCGGGGAGAGGUUCUUCUCGAGCUCAUCCCAGAUGUACGCCGCCCCUUGAUGCUGGUCGUCCAGCAGCGUCCGUACAUGCAAGUUCAGAUCUCAAAAGAGUGCUCGAUGCCGUCCACCCUGAUAGCGGCCAUGUCGGGGCUGGAGGUCAAGCGUCAGGACGAUGAUUCGGCGGAGCAGGGACGAAGUGAUAAUUUGAUUAGUGGUUUGACACAGCCUUUGCUCAUAGAGACAAAGGAGUGGCAAGUUGACAAUGCAGAGGAUAAUGAUGGUUGCUGGUCCAUACAGAUUCCUCAUGCCACAUGUGAAGGUUUUCUCGUAAUCUCUUUAAUGUGCUUAUUUUUUGUUGCUGAAUGCAUAACCUUCAUUUGCAUUGGCUCUUUUCACAAAUAUAUCAGUUUCAGUUCUUCAUCAACUUCAUUCUCUAGUCUGCAAUGGUCAUUUUUCUUAUGGAAUGACAAAUUUAUUGCACACAGUUGUACACAAAAUAUUUUAGCAUUACUAUCAUCUUCUAAUACAGAACGGGAAGUGUUGGAACCUAUAAAUCGAUGA